CGCAUGGUAGGUAACUAACCUACAUGCAUUUAACGGUUAACAGCUUUAAUAUUAUCAAAAUGUUUGGAAAAAUAUUAAUGGUUGCAUUUCAUUUCACAACACAUAAAACGGUCCCUCACCAUCACCGGCAAGCAUUGAAUCGGCGUCCCUUCCGGUCAAAUCCUUCAAAUCAUCAAUGCCAAUGGAAGUGAAUCGUAACCCUAACCCUUCGAUGCGUUUCAACUGAAUCGUGAUUCAACCCCGUCGCGAAGUCAGAUGCAAGCAAGGGUGAUCGAUUAGUGAGGAAGAAGGCGACACGUUCUAUCGGCCAGUCUAUGCAUAUUGGAGUCCAAUUGGCUGCUGCUAUUCUUACAUCAAUUAAUUAAUUACAUUAAGAUAGAAGGUAAACCGGCAACAAGCUGCUUCUAUUCGUACAUCAAUUUAUUCAGCCUUCCAGGAAGCAUGACUUUGUAGCGUUUAUCCAGUAUCACAAUGAAGAGGUCACUUCACUCCAUUCGGAAUUUGAGAAGGAAUGAAGAAUCAAUUUCAGUUGAUGAGCGGCAGUCAGUCAGUUACUUGCUUCCAUAGUUCCCAAUACAUUGAUCAGUUUUUAAUAACAUUCUCAUUACCCGCAUAUACGGGAACUUAUAUAUCAAAAUAACUCUCUAUGCCACGCAAGUAUGUGUCUGUUUUCAUUUCAUUUAAAUCUAAUCUUGGACUAUUGCUAUUCUAUAUAUAAUUGGAAAAUUGGAUAUUGACAAAAAUGCUCAUAUCCUUAAUAAAACCUAGAAUUAAGACAUUUGGCCAGAAUAUAUGUAUAAUAAAUGUAACCGGGUACUGUAGGUGGCCAGAAGAGUAGUUUCGAUAUAUGGGCGGCCUUGAUGAAGAAAGUUGAAUAUCGAGAUCCGAAACCCAAACUCACCUGCCAACUCUGAAGCAGCAAGAAUGUUUAGUGUGUACAAUCAUAAAGUGUGUGAGAUCAUUUAGCAGAGCUGGACUGCGGAGGACCAAGAAUCAACCUGUUGGGGCGAGUUGUAAAAGCAUUACUUCCAAGGCCUUUACAUUAUUAUGCUUGUUCAAGAAUUCACUCAAAAAACAUUAAUACUGGUAACAUCAAAUGUGUAAUUGCAGGUCAUGAUGUUUAAGUUUUAGGUUUAGUACUCGGUUUCGAUUAUGGUUGCGGUCUCAACAUGGAGACGUUUUCUGCUAUUCUAUUACCAUGGUGAAAUCAAUCAAAGUUUUGUAAGAAUUUUAAUAAGCCUUGGCGUGAGUUGUUUAUUAAGAUUGCUAAAACUGGGUCAGGUUUUAAAUCCUUUUUUUUUUUACUGUUAUAUGUUAAUAAUCAUCCUUAGUUGAUUAGUUUUGUAACCGUAGCGUUUAGUUGAAUUGGAAGCGAGGAUAUGUUGUUUGUAAGUGACAAAUGUUAUUCAGUUUUUGUAGUGUAAUUAUAGAUGUUAAUACUUUGGAUCUGGUAAUUGUUUCUGGAAUAUAAGUUAUUUUAAUCUAUCAUGUUAUUUUAAUUCAUCAUUAUUGUGUGGAAAUUAAAAAAAAAAAAAAAAUCGCAUUUGAUAACUUGUACUCACCGGGAAUGAAGUAAGAUGGAUCAAACUAAUAGACAUACUUUGCUUUGUAUGCCUAAUUAAUAUAUUACAGUCCAACUUGUUGUAUGUUAACGUCUAUAAAUAAAUACAAAGGAUACUUACCAUUUGUCGCGAUGAAGAUGACACUGGACCUUAAAAUGAGCAAUAAUCUGCAUAUUGUGAUGUCCCAGAUCCAUGGUUGACCGACCGUAUUGAUUUGUUAAAGGAUGGGCUUCCUGUAGCCCUGGUGAGUGGUGACUGCACUUGCUUUGGGUGUGCAUGAAUCAGCCACAUUUUGGUAGCCAGAAGUGCAGGAGUCAAGCUCGGGUUUCUGUUACGAUUGUAAACUCUCUCUCGAUAUAUACAUAUAUAUAUAUAUAUGUAUAUAUGUUCCUAUUGCUGCAUUAAGUAUACUUAGUUCAUACAUUGUGAAUCAAUAACAACCUGGUCAAAGUUGAUAACCUGAUCAGUGGACCUCGUGUUUGGGUCAACUAUUGACUGUUCCUGAUCAAUGAACAAAUUGCCAAACGAUUGGUUUAUUAUAUGAUUUACGAUUCGUCUUUAGAACAUUUACCUAUGCGUGUGCCAGAACAUGAAACAGAAUACACACAGACAGUGAAACUUUUGUCAUGUCUUCUGGUUUUUCUCACUAAUUUGACGGUAAGUAUAUAGUCAACCCUCUAUACGGCUCUCAAGGUAAAUCAUGAAAUAAAGUUUUUUUUUUUUCAUCAUGAUAUGGCUGCUUACCGUUUUAGAGAAAUCUCACUUGUUGUAUAUGUAUCAGGCAAAUCCGGAGCUCGUUUCACCUGUAUUAACAAACAUUAGCACUUAAUGAUGAUGUGACGUACAAUAAGGCUACAAAAUCUGGAUGCCCGAAUGGAUCCAUACGGUUCAGUUUGGACAGUUGGAUGCUCAACAGCCUGUUCCUGAGGGAAGAGUAUUCGACUGGUCAAAAGCGAGUGUUCAAGAAAUGAAAGACAAGCUUACAGCACUUGGAUUCGGUCCUCGUCAGGUCGAUUUGAUAACGACUCUUACUGAACUGAGUUGUUUGGGGCAACUACGAGGCAUACUCGUAUGGUGACCCUAAAGUUAAUAAUGAGCAAAUGGAGUCAGGGAGUGAAAUUCUGGCGUGUAGGAUCUUGAUCAAUGCAAAGAAAUAGUGGAACCGAAUAUGGGUAUACUCGGCGACGCACACAAGGGUCCGGUCCAUUAGCUUUGGAAUAAAAGAGGCUAAAAACGAAAUAGGAAAAAUGUUCUUGGGAAUAAAGCAGGUGCUUGCUCUGCGGGCUACGGCUUCAAUUAUGUUUAGACUCAAUGUUGAUGUACAAACAUGACUCAUUUGGGCUAGACUGAAUUUCUACUCCUAUGCUACGCUUAUUACUAUUUGUAUAUCAAAAUUGUAUCCCUAACUUGUGAUGCUUUUGAGAGGCUGAUCAUCGUACCUAUACCCAAAAUAAGUGGCUUGAUAUGUAUGUAUAACAUUGAAAGAUUAUGGUUUGAUAUAUACAGUUUCAUUCUAUAA